rnacentral:lncRNA from 1 species
CCCGGAUCCGGCCUAAACCAGCGCCUGCCGGGUCAAGACCAGUGAGGAGCCCGUGGAGAAAGGAGCGGGAGUGGGGGCGCGAGGGCGAGCGGGGACCGAGAGCCCCGGGGCGAGAAGCCAUUUGUCCGGAUGGGCAGAGGAGACUGGCGAGGUGUAAACGGUGAGGCCGGCGUGAGAGGACAGCAGUCGCCUUUGAGUCUUGCUCUACGAGAUUGUUAUCACAGAUCUAGCAAGAGGGCUGGUGGCUUUUAGUCACUGUAUCAAAUCUAUUCUACUCCUCCUGAUGAAGCUUGGAUGAAUACGUCCUCAUGGAAAGAACCGUCAAGGAGGGCAGCGACACUGCAGCGGGACCCGGCUCCCAGCAUGGGCAGGAGCAGCAGAGUGGAAGCGACUCCUGGUGCGCCCAGAUCGAGAGCUCUGUGACAGCCCCACGGACUUUCCACAGCCCAGGAGCAACAUGGGAGGGGGCAGGAUUUCCUCCAGGCCCUUAGAAAGGGGCACAGAAGCAGGAGAAAAGAAUCAGAUCUGUACAGGCCUUGCCUGGGGAGUGAGCAAGUGCAGCCGCAAAGGGGCAUGGGGCAGCGACCAAGAACGGGACGGUAUGAUACAGACCUGGGAGGCUGGUGUGGACAGAUGACCUGGCUCAGAGGCCCUUCUCUCCACUCCCUGCAGCCUCCCCUUAUCCAGAAUGGGGACACAAUCCCCAGGGAUAGAAAACUAUCCCGCGGUAACAGAAAUUGUCAGCCACCAAGCAGAAUGAGGAUUUGAAAUGGAAAUGACAUUGAUUUAAACAAAAAAGUAACGUUUCUUACACACUCGGGCUGUGUUCUGAGAUUCUUGCGUUCUCAGGUGCAGAUUUUCAUGAAAAUCCCCCAAAUUCACAAACCAAAGCAACGCACACCUGUAUCCUAUAUUUCAAGGGUAUCUUUUUCAUAAGAGCUCAAAGAGCUGUCGGGUGGAUUAUCUCAUUUAUCUUCCCAAUAUUCUUCCAAAGGAGUUUGGGCCAGUCAUUAUUAUCCUCAAAGGAGGUGUAACUGUCUCCCAGACAGCCACGGCCUCGCAGGGGGGCCCAUGAAAGGCGAAGGCGUG